UUAACUAAAGCCAAAAAGAGGCGUACCACUGUUAAUGGUAAUAUUGAGCUAUUGUUCUAGUUAAG
rnacentral:tRNA from 1 species